rnacentral:lncRNA from 1 species
CCCAUUCCCAGCUCCCGGCGUGGGAAGCUGGGGAGAGCCAGAGCUCCAUUUACAAAUCUCUCUUUGUGUCAGCACUUCCAAAAUCCAGAGUUUCACUUGUGUGUGACACCCUGACACAGGUGCCACAGGCGCCUGCCUUCCACAGGGAGCUAAAAAAUUCCAAGGAAAGCCUCUUCAGGAAUAAUUCUUGGAUUUUUUUGUCUUCAAGCCUGAAUCUGUUCAAUUCCUGAUUGUGCUGACAGCCAGCCCAGCUCCUUCUGCCUGGGAUCUGCACCUCCCAGUCCUUGGAUAUUCACUCAGAACUGAAUCCAGCUUCCUUCCCCAGAACCAUCCUGACAAUCAAAUUAAUUCAGUCAGGAAUUAGGGACGGUUCUGCCUUGGAGAACCUGAGGAAGAGCAGGUGUGUGGAAUAAUUUUCCCAUUUUUGUGCCCUCAGCACCGCAGCUUGAGUGCUCUGGGCUGGGUGAUCCAUCACAGGUUGGGUUCAGCGGUCUCUGAGGUCUUUUCCAACCUCAAUAAUUCCACGAUUCCAUGAUUUUGGCAGCACCCUGGGUGUGCUCCUGGCAGGAGAUGCCAGUGGUGGAGUCACAGCGCAAUUCUCCGUCACAAUUCCGGUCGUUUCACAGUUCAUAAACAUUCAUCAAAGGGAAUUUAGAUGAAAUCCGAGUUUUGUCUGGUUCCAGGCUUCCUGCAGUGGGAAAAUCACAAGGUGGAUGUCUGGGAGGGUGAGCAGGUGAAGUGUGUCUGACAUGAAAAGAUGAAAUUAGAAACGUGUUUGUGGCUAAACAAAGGGAAUUGUAAACAUGUGUUGCCAUCAGCCCAGACAGUGUCAGGGAGUCUCGGGGACAGUGACAGCAGAGCACAGGACACAGCAGCCCUGCUGCAGGAAUUCUUGCUCGUUCUGGCUGGAAAAUCACAGGAUUUGAGGUUUAUUUUGGCUUCCCUGCACCUCCUCUGCCGGGCUGGAGUGGUGCCUGCAGUAGUGAGACCUGUAAAUAUUUCCAAUAUAAAUCUAAGUUUGUAACUUGCUGUGAAAAAUUCCCUUGGGAUUGAGGUUUGGGUGUGUGAGAGCCUUUCCUGGUG